rnacentral:tRNA from 1 species
GGGCGUGUAGCUCAGUUGGUUAGAGCGCCAUCCUUACACGGUGGAUGUCUCUGGUUCGAAUCCAGACACGCCCA